UCCUCUCUUCUUCGUUCUCAGUUUCUCUCUACAGAAACUCUUCUUCUCUUUCUGUUUUCUUAUUCGGCCAGCAACAUUGAAAGGUAGAAAUCUUCCUCUUAAACUCUCUCUUGCUCACCUUCGGCUUCUCUUAAUUCCCAACAGAAGAAUUCUCACUCAAAACUCCUUAAACUCUCUUUUGAUUCUCUUCCCUCUCUUCCUCUAUUUCGGCCAAGCAGGAUAGGAAAUCCUCUCAGUUUCUGCCACACUCUCUCUAGUUACAGAAAACAAAAAGAAAAGAGGAAGAGAACAGCAACAACAUCUCAUUGUAGAAGGUCGACCCUGACGCUAAUGAAAAGUCCAGAUAAUCCAGUAAGAUGAAGUCAUUUCUUUGUAAUGGCGUAGACCUCGCUAAACAAUAGAUCGUUGUAGACCGACCAAACCUUUAUAUUGUAUAGUGUGUCCCUUUUUGAAGUUCAU